rnacentral:pre_miRNA from 1 species
AAAGUACUCCCUCCGUCCGAAAAUUCUUGUCUUAGAUUUGUCUAGAUAUGGAUGUAUCAAGUCACAUUUUAGUAUUAGAUACAUCCGUAUCUAGACAAAUCUAAGACAAGAAAUUUGGGACAGAGGGAGUAGUUG